GAUGAAGAACGUAGCGAAAUGCGAUAAGUAAUGUGAAUUGCAGAAUUCAGUGAAUCAUCGAAUCUUUGAACGCACAUUGCGCCCCUUGGUAUUCCGAGGGGCAUGCCUGUUCGAGCGUCAUUUUGACCACUGCCGCUUGCGGGGUCUUGGGCCUUCGCCUCUGGGCGGGCCUUAAAAUCAGUGGCGGUGCCGUCCGGCUCUAAGCGUAGUAAAUCUCCUCGCUAUAGGGUUCCGGAGGGAUGCUGGCCAACAACCCCCAACUUUUAAGGUUGACCUCGGAUCAGGUAGGGAUACCCGCUGAACUUAAGCAUAUCAAUAAGCGGAGGA
rnacentral:misc_RNA from 1 species